GAUGAACGCUAGCGACAGGCUUAACACAUGCAAGUCGAGGGGCAGCGAGAAAGUGCUUGCACUUUUGUCGGCGACCGGCGCACGGGUGAGUAACACGUAUGCAACCUGCCCUUGUCAGGGGGAUAAGCGGGGGAAACCCCGUCUAAUACCGCAUAUAUGGUUUGGAGGCAUCUCUAAAUCAGGAAAGAAUUAUCGGACAAGGAUGGGCAUGCGGGACAUUAGGUAGUUGGGGGGUGUAACGGACCACCAAGCCGACGAUGUCUAGGGGUUCUGAGAGGAAGGUCCCCCANACUGGUACUGAGACACGGACCAGACUCCUACGGGAGGCAGCAGUGAGGAAUAUUGGUCAAUGGGCGAGAGCCUGAACCAGCCAAGUCGCGUGAGGGACGAAGGCCCCUCGGGGUUGUAAACUUCAGUCAACAGGGAAGAAACAAAUGACGGUACCUGUGGAGGAAGCCAGGCUAACUACGUGCCAGCAGCCG
rnacentral:rRNA from 1 species